UUUCGCAAUGCCCGAAAGGGUGACGAAGCGACGCCGCGUGGGUGAGGAAGGCCCUCGGGUUGUAAAGCCCUGUCAGGAGUUAAGAAAUGCAGGUGUGCUAAUAUCACACCUGCUUGACGAAGGCUCCAAAGGAAGUCACGGCUAACUCUGUGCCAGCAGCCGCGGUAAUACAGAGGUGGCAAGCGUUGUUCGGAAUUAUUGGGCGUAAAGAGCACGUAGGUGGGUUUGUAAGUCAGAUGUGAAAGCCUCCUGUUCAACGGGAGAAUUGCAUCUGAAACUACUGAUCUUGAGUGUAGGAGGGGAGAAUGGAACUUCUGGUGGAGCGGUGAAAUGCGUAGAUAUCAGAAGGAACGCCGGCGGCGAAAGCGAUUCUCUGGCCUAUUACUGACACUCAGUGUGCGAAAGCUAGGGGAGCAAACGGGAUUAGAUACCCCGGUAGUCCUAGCCGUAAACGAUGGGCACUAAGUAGAGGGGUUUUA
rnacentral:rRNA from 1 species